ensembl:misc_RNA Metazoa_SRP Metazoan signal recognition particle RNA
GCCGGGUGUGGUGGUGCACACCUGUAAUCCCAGCUACUCAGGAGGCUGAGGCAGGAGAAUUGCUUGAACCCAGGAAACAGAGGUUGCAGUGAUUGUUCCACUGCACUCCAGCCUGGGCGACAGAGCAAGACUCCGUCUCAA